GAUGAACGCUGGCGGCGUGCCUAAUACAUGCAAGUCGAACGCUUCACAUAUGUGAAGAGUGGCGAACGGGUGAGUAAUACAUAAGUAACCUGGCCUUUACAGGGGGAUAACUAUUGGAAACGAUAGCUAAGACCGCAUAGGUGUGCAGAUCGCAUGAAGUGCACAUGAAAUAUGCUACGGCAUAGGUAGGGGAUGGACUUAUGGCGCAUUAGCUAGUUGGAGGGGUAACGGCCCACCAAGGCGACGAUGCGUAGCCGACCUGAGAGGGUGACCGGCCACACUGGGACUGAGACACGGCCCAGACUCCUACGGGAGGCAGCAGUAGGGAAUUUUCGGCAAUGGGGGAAACCCUGACCGAGCAACGCCGCGUGAAGGAAGAAGUAAUUCGUUAUGUAAACUUCUGUCAUAGAGGAAGAACGGUGCGUGUAGGGAAUGACAUGCAAGUGACGGUACUCUAUAAGAAAGCCACGGCUAACUACGUGCCAGCCGCCGCCGUAA
rnacentral:rRNA from 1 species